rnacentral:rRNA from 1 species
UACGAAGGGGGCUAGCGUUGCUCGGAAUCGCUGGGCGUAAAGCGCACGUAGGCGGAUUGCUAAGUCAGGGGUGAAAUCCUGGAGCUCAACUCCAGAACUGCCUUUGAUACUGGCGAUCUUGAGUCCGGGAGAGGUGAGUGGAACUGCGAGUGUAGAGGUGAAAUUCGUAGAUAUCGAGAGGAACACCGGUGGCGAAGGCGGCUUCCUGGACAGUGACUGACGCUGAGACGCGAAAGCGUGGGGAGCAAACAGG